GAACAGAAUAGUCUCAGAGGGCAUAGUCGAUGCUACCCGAGCUGUUGCUUCAAAAGGCGGUAUCUUUCCAUUGGUAAAGCUGAUCAAUGAAGGAAGUGAGAGGGCAACAGAAGCAGCCUUAGCCAUACUGUAUAAUCUGAGCAUGGAUACUGAAAAUCAUCCAGCAAUUAUAGCUGCGGGAGCUGUGCCAGCAUUGAAGAAAAUUGUUCUAUCGCAACGAGCGCAG
rnacentral:misc_RNA from 1 species